UUGAGCCGUAUGUGGUGAAAGUCACAAGUACGGUUCUUAGGGGGAAAGAAACCGAGAGGUUUCCGACCUACCCGAC
rnacentral:ncRNA from 1 species